rnacentral:rRNA from 1 species
GUUGAACGCUGGCGGCAGGCCUAACACAUGCAAGUCGAGCGGAAACGAUCCUAGCUUGCUAGGAGGCGUCGAGCGGCGGACGGGUGAGUAGCGCGUGAGAAUCUACCCAUGAGUGGGGGACAACCUGGGGAAACUCGGGCUAAUACCGCAUACGCCCUACGGGGUAAAGCAGGGGACCUUCGGGCCUUGCGCUGAUGGAUGAGCUCGCGUCGGAUUAGCUUGUUGGUGAGGUAAAGGCUCACCAAGGCGACGAUCCGUAGCUGGUCUGAGAGGAUGAUCAGCCACACCGGGACUGAGACACGGCCCGGACUCCUACGGGAGGCAGCAGUGGGGAAUCUUGGACAAUGGGGGCAACCCUGAUCCAGCCAUGCCGCGUGUGUGAAGAAGGCCUUCGGGUUGUAAAGCACUUUCAGCAGGGAGGAAGGCUUACCCCUAAUACGGGUGAGUACUUGACGUUACCUGCAGAAGAAGCACCGGCUAAUUUCGUG